CGGUCCCUGGAAGCAACAAGAGGAAGACAGGGAAGAAUCAGGAUCUUCAGGGGCUUUUUUCUUCACCUGAUAAUCUCCAUUAUUUGAAUAAUCCUAACGUGGAACAAGCCCCCCCAGGAGGAUGGUCUGUGGUUUUGGUAGGUGGGAAGAAAGUCUCUAUUACCAGCUGAGGAGGUUUUGUGGGAGGACAGGGAGAACCCAGGAGACCUCAGCCGUGUGUCUGUCGUUUACCUCAGCUGUGUCUGGAAGGUGCCAGAGAUGGCUCAACUGCACAAAACUGAAGCUGCUGGCUGGCAUCAGAACCCUGCCCCCACUGGUGUGGCUCAUCUAUGGUCCAGAAACCAGCUUGCACAUACUCUAAAGAGCUGAGGCUCCACUCUAACAGUGCUUUAGCGUGCAUCAUCUCAAGCUCCUCCAUCCACGGGAUUUUCCAGGCAAGAGUACUGGAGUGGGUUGCCAUUGCCUUCUCUAAUCAUCUCAAUAAAUUCUCUCAAAAACCCCAUAUUACAGUUGAGAAAUCAAACUUGGUACGUGUUUUCAUUUGCUUAAUUUAUAAUUUGCUACAGAAUUAAUUUCAUCUUUUUAAGACUUUUUCCCCUUCAGUAAUGUUUGUAAUGUCUUAAGGCACUCACUGUUGUUUCCUGUCUCCCUUUAAUAAAAUCCAGUCCUUGCUCCUUUACCCCAGAUGGCUAGCCCAUCAGUUUCUACUCCUUUGCCCAGCUCUCUAUACUUGGUAUAGAGCAGACAAGCAGGCACCUUCUCCUGCCUUACACCAUAAUCAUUCUCUCUUUAGGACUUGGCAACUAUGCUUAUGGCAUUGGUGCUAUUGACCCAGGGCUUGCCUAAAAGACUAGCUUAUCCAAAAACUGCAAGUCCUCUAAAGGCAGGAAAAGGACUAUAUUCUAUUUAUAGUUUUGUAUACCCACUACCCUGUAAAUAGGCACAAAGUCAGCUGAAUGUAACAGGAACUAUAUUCAGAAAGACUUGGGUUUACAUCUUGGCUGUGUGAUUUGGGCAGUUCACUUAACCUUUCUGAGCCUAAUUUUCCUUAUCUGUGAUGCCUAUCUCAAAGGACUAUGGUGAGGAUUAAAUGAGAUGAGGAAAAUGCAAGAGUCCUUACCAUGAUGUCCGUGGCAGACAUGAUGCUAAGUGCCCAAUAAAUAGUACCUAUUAUUGUUGGCAGUAUAAAUAUCUGUUAGAUGAAAUGCCACCUGAUGCAUAUGAAUAUUAAGGUUUUGUUUUGUUUUUAAAGAGACUCCCUCCUGGAGGAAAAGCAUGUUGCAGCUUUUCAACAGGUGCAGGCAAAAAAACA